GACGAACGCUGGCGGCGUGCCUAAUACAUGCAAGUAGAACGCACAGUUUAUACCGUAGCUUGCUACACCAUAGACUGUGAGUUGCGAACGGGUGAGUAACGCGUAGGUAACCUGCCUGGUAGCGGGGGAUAACUAUUGGAAACGAUAGCUAAUACCGCAUAAUAUUAAUUAUUGCAUGAUAAUUAAUUGAAAGGUGCAAUUGCACCACUACCAGAUGGACCUGCGUUGUAUUAGCUAGUAGGUGAGGUAACGGCUCACCUAGGCGACGAUACAUAGCCGACCUGAGAGGGUGAUCGGCCACACUGGGACUGAGACACGGCCCAGACUCCUACGGGAGGCGGCAGUAGGGAAUCUUCGGCAAUGGACGAAAGUCUGACCGAGCAACGCCGCGUGAGUGAAGAAGGUUUUCGGAUCGUAAAGCUCUGUUGUAAGAGAAGAACGGGUGUGAGAGUGGAAAGUUCACACUGUGACGGUAUCUUACCAGAAAGGGACGGCUAACUACGUG
rnacentral:rRNA from 1 species